UACGGAGGGUGCGAGCGUUGUCCGGAAUCAUUGGGCGUAAAGGGCGCGUAGGUGGCCCCUCAAGCGUGCGGUGAAAGUCGGGGGCUCAACCCCUGAUCGGCCGUGCGAACUGGGGGGCUGGAGCACUGUAGAGGCAGGCGGAAUUCCGGGUGUAGCGGUGGAAUGCGUAGAGAUCCGGAAGAACACCGGUGGCGAGGCGGUUGAGCUGGGCAGUUGC
rnacentral:rRNA from 1 species